AUUGAACGCUGGCGGCAGGCCUAACACAUGCAAGUCGAACGAGUGGCGGACGGGUGAGUAAUGUCUCGGAACCUGCCCGGUGGCGGGGGAUAACUACUGGAAAAAGUAGCUAAUACCGCAUACCAUCGGAUGUGCCCAUAUGGGAUUAGCUAGUUGGUGGGGUAAAGGCUCACCAAGGCAACGAUCCGUAGCUGGUUUGAGAGGAUGACCAGCCACACUGGAACUGAGACACGGCCCAGACUCCUAAGGGAGGCAGCAGUGGGGAAUAUUGGACAAUGGGGGCAAGCCUGAUCCAGCCAUGCCGCGUGUAUGAUGAAGGCCUUCGGGUUGUAAAGUACUUUCAGCGAGGAGGCGUUACUCGCAGAAUAAGCACCGGCUAACUCCGUGCCAGCAGCCGCGGUAAUAC
rnacentral:rRNA from 1 species